rnacentral:misc_RNA from 1 species
CGAGUCUGUACAGCGGGGAGGGGAUUGAUAUGGGUGAUGAUCACUUAAACUGAAUCCCCCAGCGAGAAAUCUCUGGAUCAGUGCCAGUUGUGAUCUCUCCUGGUCUGAGUAAGCAUCCACAAGCAUGGGUAGUGAGUUAAAAGUCUCCCAUGCCCAUUGUUCUGAUUCUUGGACGGACUGUGUAACAAAAUCUUCAGAAUUGUUUUCAUCCCAAAAAGCACAUUGACAGGUCUGUUGCCCAUCCCUGUAUUCGGCACCACAAGAAUAACAGAACUCAUGCCCACACCAGCAGGUCAUGUGAUAACAACCUUGCGGCAUUGUUGGCACCGCCUCCACCUUUUAUUUUGUGCCAGACAAUGCAAGGCAAUGUCUGCAGUAUCUCUUUCUUCCAAUGGCAGGUUCUGAAACUCUUCACAGCUCAUCAAAGAAUGCCAAGGAACACCACA